GGUGAACGCUGGCGGCAGGCCUAACACAUGCAAGUCGAGCGGCAGCGCGUCCGACCACCCUCGGGUGGUCGGAUGGCGGCGAGCGGCGGACGGGUGAGGAAUGCAUCGGAAUCUGCCUCGUUGUGGGGGAUAACGUAGGGAAACUUACGCUAAUACCGCAUACGACCUACGGGUGAAAGUGGGGGACCUUCGGGCCUCACGCGAUGAGAUGAGCCGAUGCCGGAUUAGCUAGUUGGCGGGGUAAAGGCCCACCAAGGCGACGAUCCGUAGCUGGUCUGAGAGGAUGAUCAGCCACACUGGAACUGAGACACGGUCCAGACUCCUACGGGAGGCAGCAGUGGGGAAUAUUGGACAAUGGGGGCAACCCUGAUCCAGCCAUGCCGCGUGUGUGAAGAAGGCCUGG
rnacentral:rRNA from 1 species